UUUAUUACAGCAUGACUAGAGUCCUUAUGAAAACAGGAAAUUUGGCCUCAGACAUGCAUAUAGACAACACCAUCUGAAGAUAAAGGCAGAGAUCAGGGCAAUUCUCUAUAAGCUAAGGAACACCAAAGAUGUCAGCAAAUCACCAGAAGAUAUUUAAAGGCAUGGAACUGAUUCCUUCUCACAGUCCUCAGAAGGAAGCAACUCUGCAGACACCUUGGUUUUUGUCUAGUCUCCAGAAUGCUUAGAGAGAUCUUCCUAUACUUAAAGAUGUACUCAGAGAUGAAAGAAAUUUCUACAGCCACUAGAUGUCAUUAUGAUGUCUCUCAAAUAUUGGUGGACAACAUAUAUCUGAUGUAAAAACUAUGCUUUCUAACUGUGAAAGGAAAAAAAAAUCUUUAGCAGAGGUAAAAGUGCAUUGGCCAUUCUAAUCUCAAUACCAGAGGACUCAUACUUAAGAGCUUCCUAUGACUUAUACAGAUGCCCUUUUCCUCUGAGGAGUGUAAUUAUGAGAAUCAGGAAUAAUAUUUUCAAAUUGUCACAUAAAUAUUUCUGACAUUCCACACUCUAUGGAUUUUGUACACACACAACUCUGACCUUCUUCUGGACUUUAGGAUCAUACUUCCAAGGAGGCUAGGGAGAAGAUGAAUUGAUGAAUAUGUAAAGCAGUGAACAGUUCAUUGGGGAUGCACGUUUUCAUAAAAGGACACAUCCCUUCUCCUUACAUUGAGCAAGGUACAAUGCCUAGCACACUUAUCUACCAAGGUCCCAAGCAUUGAUCCAGGAUAUGAAAGCCACUAUUAAGAUGUUCUGGAGGAUGAGACAUGGGAACAUCCUAGCCCAGCUAUCACCUGACUGCAAUGGUAUGACAGACUUCAAGUGAAACCAGAACUGCCCAGAAUCAAUGGGUUAUACAAAACACCUCUUCUGCCAGACACCUACCUAAUAUAUGCUUCUCCUUCCUUGACGGUGCUCAGAGAGACAAAGUGCCAAAAACAAUAAAAUACUUAGGAAUAAAAUUAGCCACGGAAGUGAAAGACCUGAAUACUGAAAACAAUAAAACAUUGAUGAAAUACACUGAAGGCACAAAUAAAAACAUAUCCCAUGUUCUUGG